UACAAACAGAAACGAAGCAGCAGCAGCAG
rnacentral:piRNA from 1 species